UACAGAGGUCCCAAGCGUUGUUCGGAUUCACUGGGCGUAAAGGGUGCGUAGGUGGUUGGGCAAGUCUGAUGUGAAAUCUCCGGGCUUAACCCGGAAAUGGCAUUGGAAACUGCCUGGCUAGAGUGUUGGAGGGGGGACUGGAAUUCUCGGUGUAGCAGUGAAAUGCGCAGAUAUCAGGAGGAACACCGAUGGCGAAGGCAGGUCUCUGGGCAUUAACUGACGCUGAGGAGCGAAAGCAUGGGGAGCGAACAGG
rnacentral:rRNA from 1 species